rnacentral:rRNA from 1 species
GACGAACGCUGGCGGCGUGCUUAAUACAUGCAAGUCGAGCGAACAGACGCGGCGCUUGCUCCUCUGACGUUUGCGGAGGACGGGAGUGUAACAUGUGGAUCCCCUCCCUGUCAGACUGGGAUCUCUUCGGGACACCGGCGCUUAUCCCGGAUGAUCUCUUGCUGCGCAUGGUUCAUUGGUGAAAUACGGUUUUGCUGUCACUUCUCGCUGGUUCUGCGCCGCAUUAGCUAGUUGGUAAGGUCACGGCUUACCAAGGCUAGGAUGCGUAGCCGACUGGAGAGGGGGGUCGGCCACACUGGAACGGAGACACGGUCCAUACGCCUACGGGAGGCAGCAGUAGGGAAUCGUCCGCAAUGGGCGAAAGCCUGACGGAGCAACGCGGCGUGAGUGAUGAAGGUCUUCGGAUCGGAAAACUCGGUUAUUGGGUAAAAACAAAUGUGUAAGUAACUAUGCACGUCUUGACGGUACCUGGUCAGAAAGCCACGGCUAACUACGUG